CGGGUAGUAAAAGCAACGGCGGGAACGAGACUCGUCAAGUUUCGCGUCAAUACGGCGACCUUCCGUCCCCUCGCCCCGCUGUUCCACUAGUGCGGCAAACACGGCCAGGCCUGUCCUGUUAUCUCCAAACGACUGUUUGGAGAGGCAUCUCUAUCAGAACGGUGGGAGAACGUCUAAUGCAUAUCAAUUGGAGGACUUAGAUUUGUAUUUGUUCUGCAUUUGCUCUGUCCUGCUAUGGUACACAGAAAUGACAGCAGGGUCCACUGUAUAAACUCUCAAAGCACUUGAUUCUUGUUGGACUUCAAUCUGUAAAUGUUAAACAUAUGAGUCAUUUCUCACUUUGUCACCUUUAAUGCUUUUUUUUGUUUUGUGUGGGAGGGAUGGGGGGGGUUACUGAAACAAAUCAAAGGCCCUCUUUUAUCUGACAUUUUUUAAAUGCAAAACACCUUAUAGACCUCCUGUAAUCUCAGUAAAUUGUCUUAUUAACUAAUGUUCACUAGCAUUUACCUUCUCUGGCAUCUAGUAGACAAAAAGCAUCCCAUUGGUGUCUUUCUAUGAUUCACUGCUGUUUUCCCCCCUUGUUGGAUUCCAGUUAAUAUCUCUUAUUUCCUAUAUUUGACAAGUGUACUCAAGUUACAUAUUCAAUUUGUCUGUCUGCUAUUUCAUAUAAGUAGCGGCUGGCUCAUGGAAAUUUGCUGCGUGAAAGCAACUCCCCAGGCUUUUUUUUUUUUUUUAGGUUUGUCACGGUGAGAGCACUUUGAACUAACUGCUAAACUGACUCUUUUUUUUUUUACCAGGAAAAAUAUUUUCUGUGAGGCUCUUGCUUGUUUGUCUGGUCUCUCUGGUGCAGGUUUUGUGCAGGUGCUGAUUUGUAGCAAAACACAGCCGAAGGCCGUCUGGGCAGCUUCUGAAACGUGGCGCAGAGCGUCCGGUGGAAUCCCAGGCAUUGUUUGGUGCAGUUUGGAGAGGUCGGUGGGGAAAAUGGGCGUACUCUGUGAAUGGUGUACGGCUGAACACGUUUUUAAUACUGGUAAAAACAAAAACUGCACCAGGGCCAGCUGAAUUUAGAGCUAAAAUGAAUAUUCAAUUAGUCAACAUUUAAUCUGCAACUAUUUCAACAGUGGACUAAAU
ensembl:lncRNA